UACGUAGGGUGCAAGCGUUAAUCGGAAUUACUGGGCGUAAAGCGUGCGCAGGCGGUUAUGUAAGACAGUUGUGAAAUCCCCGGGCUCAACCUGGGAACUGCAUCUGUGACUGCAUAGCUAGAGUACGGUAGAGGGGGAUGGAAUUCCGCGUGUAGCAGUGAAAUGCGUAGAUAUGCGGAGGAACACCGAUGGCGAAGGCAAUCCCCUGGACCUGUACUGACGCUCAUGCACGAAAGCGUAGGGAGCAAACAGG
rnacentral:rRNA from 1 species